CUUUUGUAGAAGUAUCUUUUAAAUGAUAAAAGAAAGUUAUGUUUUGAUUUAUACUCAUUUUCUGUUGCAUGUUCUAUACAAAAUAAUUAAACUCUCUCUAGUGCUAAUUAUUACACAUUCCAAAAACAAUCCAUGAGAAACAAAUAACGUCUUUGAAGGACAACAUUUCACUAAGCUUACUAUGCCGCAGAGGUAUAUCCUAUCUAUGCUACAGCAACAAAAUUUUCAAAGAAAAAAAGAAAUUAGAUCUUUUGUUUAACUUACCUACAGCUUCCCUCAUCGCUACCAUCUGAAUUGUCUUGAAGCAGCGGAGCAAGUGUGCUCCUGACAGAAGAUUUCUGCUUAUUAAUUUCCUCGAGUAUGGACAAUCGAGCAGCCUCACAAGCUUUUGCAUUUGGAAAACCAAGGGUCCAUCUUCCCUCUGCUGCAUGAUUCAACCCUUUUGCAUUAUAGCCUUUGGUUUUACUUGCAUUUAAUCUUGGGUCAAACUCUCUUAUCCUGAGAUGCAACCAUGUGGGAUGAUCCUCAUCUAUCUUGGGACUCAACCCCGCCAAUGGAGUUAUGGCAAUUAUAACUCCCUGUUGACUGCGGAAGGGAUGUUUCUCCACAAGAAGCAAUUUCCCAGAUGUUCCUCUCGCCAAAGGUAUCAUGUAAAUAUCCCUUAUUCCAGCAUUUGAAAAGGCAAUCCUACAAGGGAUCCCAGAUCCUAAGGAAAUCUCUGACCCAAAGCUUGCACUUGAAAGAUCUGAAGCAUGGGUUCUUCCAGAACCAGCAGGACUGCUUAGAGGAGCUAACAAGGGUUUUUCAAGCAACUCUCCUUUGCAAAUAAAAGCUUUCAACUGAAGAUGGAGAAUAAAAACCUUCACUGUGUCAACCAUUCUCUGCCAAGAAAAAUAAGCUGAUGUUGCAUCGUCCGUAAUUUUCUGGCAGACAGCAAGUUCUAGUAUGAAAAAGGGAUCUUUGGAUUGAGAUGGUUUCUCAAGAGCUGCUUUACAGCUUGUCCAUUCAUUUCUCAAAGUGUCCAGGAUAUAAUCAAACCAGCAUCCAUCAAGUUCUUUCUUAAAACGUUCACUGGACUGCUCAUAUGAGGUCUGUCAAUGGGAAAUUGAAAAUUUGCAAAUUAUGAUCAUCAAGCUUUUUUCCUUGUAAAACUAGUAGCUUCUGCAAGAACCACACGGUAUGCCAUUGUAUUUGUACAGGGAUUAGUGGUUCACUUGCUAAAACCUUCAAUAACGAAUUUAAAAUCUGUGGCAUAAACUUUACAAAGAUAAUUUCAUCAACUACUUGUGAAGCUGAGAUGUCAUGAUCCAUCCCACACUGCAUGCCACUUAGUCCGAUCAUUGAGGCCAGUAUUUGCUCAACAUCUUUACUUCCUGCUAAAGUAAACAAUAAAAAUAGAGAUGCUAGCAAAAGACAGUGAUUUUCAGACAAAAUAAAUGCCAGCAUUCCACCCCUGAAACAAAAGCAAUUUUAUGGUAAGCAGAAAGGUACUAUAUGAUUCACACAAUACCUAAUGUAAAACCAAAAAAAAUAAAGGAAUUAUUAGCCUGCAGUGCACUUCAUCAAACAUAACUUAAUAAAUCUUAUCUGCAUUAGAAGCCAUAUCAAACAUCAAAUAAAACUUAAAGCACUGCAAAUCUUUUUCUUCAGGCAAUGAAAAGAUAUUAUUCAGCAUGAAUAAAUCCAUUAUCCCAAUGAACUGAAAACAUCUGACACUAAAUGUUCUGCCUGUGAUGCCUCUACGUGGAACUAUAUGCGAAGUUGAAACAUGGACAGAGAAUGAGAUUCAAAGUUGCUCAUUUUCUUUAAAAGUAAUAAACUCUAGAACAGUUUUACCAUGCGCAAUGGUGACGCCGACAUACCAGCACAAGAUCAAACAUUCCUGAUUAAGUACUGUUGGACUCUCAACAAACUGCUUGGUGCAUUUUCACCCAUAUAUUAUGCCAGUGCAGAAAACAUGCUAAAGUUCAACAAUUAAAAUUCAUAGAUACCAAUUCUCAGGCACUCCAGUUUGCAUAAAUUUACACUUAUGCACAAAACUCUACUUUAGGAUUCCCAUCCACAAGAAAAGCAGAGGCUUGCUUCGUCAUAGCCUGUCAGAUAGCAAUACAUAUCAAAGUUGUCUAACAUUUAUUCUUAGUAAGCUUCCAAAUUUUACAAUUCAGGUCCCACUCACUUGAACUUCCUGUUUUUCCUAUACCAACAAAAUUACAUUAUGAAAUUCCCUUCGUCCAUCGACAAUAUCAUACAAGAUAAUACUCUAAUGUAUAUAUUAUAAGAGAUAUAAUGUGGUGGCCACAAAGGAAAAACAUCAGAUAUGAUUGAUCCAUCAAUAAAGACCUACAGCUAAUUGUUCAUCAAAUUCUGGUUCUCAUGCAGGAUUUCACUUAGGAUUCUGGAAUCCCAUUUGUGGUUAAUAGCCAUAAUACAUAGACAAUUAAUCUUAAAACUGGAGAAUUUCUCUUUUCUCUAGUUAUAUACUCUCAUUUAAUUCAUGAAACAAUAACCUUCAAAACAUACACAAUCUACAAACCUUUCUUGACAUAGACUGUCAUCCACAGAGCAGUUUAUGGAAGGAGAAUGGGAUGAUACAGGCUUGCCAAUAAGAUGCCCAUUGAUGAUUUCCCCCCCUUCAGACUCAGAGUCCGAACACCCCAAUUUCUCCACAUUAUUCAAAUGGUUGAAAAACAAAUUGUUUGUAUUGCCUUCACUAGCAUAUCUUAAACUUGACAUAAAAGGGUAUAGAACAAUUUCAGCCACAGCAUUAACUAUAGUUUUUCCGCCAACAACUUGAAGAAGACGAGAAACUAUAUACAGAGAAGUGAUGGCAGAUAGAUUUGAACCAUCAUUCCUCCUCAAUUUAAGUAGCGGAAGCAAUAUGGGAAAUACAAACAAGUUGAGAAGAUUCUGGGUAACCACUUCACUCAAACGAGAUUCACCAACAGAAAGAAUAUCCUUAAAGUAGUACAAAUCAUCAACAAUUUUAUCAGUUUCCAGAAGUAGUUCCUUUCUUAUUUGAUCAGUGCAUGCACCCCUGCAUCAAAGUCAAGCAGUUUUUUUUCUCAUAUAGAUAGUUUGCCUACCACCAGUAACUGUCUAUUAAAUGACAAAACGUUCUCCAAGAUAUUGAAAGAAAAAUACUCUGUAGCAAGCACAAGGCUAUCUAGAUGAACACAUUGCUCUUUUAAGCUAUGAACCAAGUCUGAAAAGUACUUCGAAGCAGGAGGAAUUGAAACAAACUGAUAAACCAUAUCAUCACUAACUGCAAGAUCAUAAGAAUUGUCACAAGCUACACAUGACCCUUUACUUUACACAUUAUAGAAACUUUAGACAACAAUAAAAUACCAUUGUAUAUGUUCAGUGUUAAUGCACGUACAGCUGUCUGAAUCAUCUUUUCCCCAUGCUGAGCAAAUUUAAGCGCCUCACUAUAUAGGGGAAAAGAGACUACAGCAUCCUGUAACCAAAAACACAUGAUAAAAUAUUAAAAAAAAAGGGUUAUUUGGGACCAUCACAAAAACUGAGCAUAUGCACAUGCAGGACAGUGAGUAAGAAUUCUUGCUGCUCCAACAUGUUUGAAUCCCAAUACAAAUCUGCAUGCAUACAUAUGUGUGGUUCUAUGUGAACCUUGUACUUCUUUAAGUGAGCCCACAUUCAGCUUAUAAACUAUCUUUAACAAAGGCAUGAAAGUGUAGAACAUUUGGUACACCAGACGACUGAACUUGGUCCUGUAGCACUAGCACAAUUUCAAAAUGAGCAGAAACCAAACAUCGUUUCCCCUUUUAUUUAACCAUUCGCAACAAGUGCCUGUUUGGCCUUUUUUGCACCCAAUGGCUUGACAACAAGAAGGGGAAUAGCCAGCCCCCCCUCCAUCAGCCCUCUUCACCCAUUGCCUGGAUCUAAACUCAGGACUAGAAACUCCUUGAAUUUUCAGUUAGAUUAUCAAUAACACAUGUAGUAAGAGUCUAAGCCAAAAGAAUUUUAGAAUUGAGAAUGAGAGAAAGAGACAGAACCAAUAUAUUGCUUUCAAUACAGAAGUGGAUACAAGGCCCGCAAUGCAAUCAAUAGUCAAGCAGCCAUAAGUAUCAACUUUCUCAUAUGAGAACAAGACGAGGGUAUGGAGAUUAUAAAUUUUUCAGUAGCAAUUUAAUAAAAUCAGUUCUCCAAUACAACUUCAUUAGUUUACUUGGGUGUGAUUAUAAAAGUGCUGGAACUCUAUAACACUGCUUUCUUAGUCAUCAUCACCAAAUACUUGACAAACUUUGACAGCAUUCAACUCCAAACCAUAGCCUAAAAGGCAAAUAGUUCAUCAAAAUAUCAAGAAAAACCUUUGAUGCAUGAGUUUAAACUUACCCCGUGAACCCUUACAAGAAGACAAAGUGUAUCUCUGUUUAUUUUGCUGCUCACUGCUCUGAUUUAAGAAAGAACAAAAAUAGGGUAUGAAUAGUCAGAAUAAUUCACAGCCAUUUCUAUGAUAAAUUUAAACAAAUAAGAGACACAAGAUAAUACAACUAGUGGAAGAAUUUCAAGUUUUCAACAAAGUUACAGUUUUGGAUUAGCAAUAGCACAACCUUAGGAAUGAUAUAUAAUAUGGAGCCAGAUCUCCCCCAUCAAAAUUAUAUUGAUGUGCUAUAAUGCUGUUGAUGUAGCCAUUGCUCAAACAAUAGUCUGGGGUACAGAUCAUCAUCAAAUGCAUCACUAUACUUAAUAGAAGAACAAGUAUUGGAGCAACCAAUGAAAUAAUAUGAAAGGCAGGGAACUACACAUGAUGUAAUACAUAAUAAUGGUCACUUCACGGCUUACAAAUUGCAUGUUCACUAUCCAUGUUUUGAAUCAUUAUACUAAGAUACUGAAGUAAUGGUGCCUCUAUUCUUGAAUUUCUGCUUAUCUUUAGCACUCGAACAAACUCCGCCAAAACUUGGUAUUCCAUAAAACAUUCAAAAAUUAGUGGAUCUUGUCUAUCACCAUAUGUAACUAUUUCUGCUAUAGACUGCAGAAGAUCUACAACUAACUCACUGUUAUGCUUAUCCACAACUUUGAUCCCUCGCAAUUCAUUAAUCACAUAUUUGAAGUGUUGAAGAGAGAAGCGAUCGAUGGAUCGCCAGAGAGAACGCCACAUGGUGAAAAAUCCGAGAAGCUGAACAAAAAAUUUGGCGGAUCUAAAUAUUUGGCGGUUGCGUCCAGUUUUAUUAAUUGAUAUGGUUUGCGUUUUGGGCUUGAGCGUGGAACUGGAGUUCUGAGAGUUUGUGAGCGAUAAUGGUGGUCAGCGCGCAAUGUUUGGCGGUUUGGUGGCUCGUUAAGACUUGAGAUACAACGAACUUUCAACGUUUGGAGUUCGAAAUUCGC
rnacentral:misc_RNA from 1 species